rnacentral:rRNA from 1 species
AUUGAACGCUGGCGGCAUGCCUAACACAUGCAAGUCGAGCGAGCGGCGGACGGGUGAGUAAUGUAUGGGGAUCUGCCCGAUAGAGGGGGAUAACUACUGGAAACGGUGGCUAAUACCGCAUACUAUCGGAUGAACCCAUAUGGGAUUAGCUAGUAGGUGGGGUAAAGGCUCACCUAGGCGACGAUCUCUAGCUGGUCUGAGAGGAUGACCAGCCACACUGGGACUGAGACACGGCCCAGACUCCUACGGGAGGCAGCAGUGGGGAAUAUUGGACAAUGGGGGAAAGCCUGAUGCAGCCAUGCCGCGUGUAUGAAGAAGGCCUUAGGGUUGUAAAGUACUUUCAGCGGAGAGGCGUUACCCGCAGAAGAAGCACCGGCUAACUCCGUGCCAGCAGCCGCGGUAAUUC